GGGCGUGUGGCGCAACGGAUAAAGGCGUCUGACUACGGAUCAGAAGAUUCCAGGUUCGAAUCCUGGCACGCUCG
rnacentral:tRNA from 1 species